rfam:Triticum urartu cultivar G1812 contig759127, whole genome shotgun sequence.
GAUGUACUCCCUCCGUUCGGAAUUACUUGUUUCGGAAAUGGAUGUAUUUAAAACUAAAAUACGUCUAGAUACAUCCAUUUUCACGACAAGUAAUUCUAAACGGAGGGAGUACACU